rnacentral:rRNA from 1 species
UACGUAGGGGGCGAGCGUUGUCCGGAUUUAUUGGGCGUAAAGAGCGUGUAGGCGGCCAGGUAGGUCUGCUGUGAAAACUCGAGGCUCAACCUCGAGACGUCGGCGGAAACCAUCUGGCUAGAGUCCGGAAGAGGAGAGUGGAAUUCCUGGUGUAGCGGUGAAAUGCGCAGAUAUCAGGAAGAACACCCGUGGCGAAAGCGGCUCUCUGGGACGGUACUGACGCUGAGACGCGAAAGCGUGGGGAUCAAACAGG